rnacentral:rRNA from 1 species
GACGAACGCUGGCGGCGUGCUUAACACAUGCAAGUCGAACGGUGAAGCGCCUUCCUUUUUGGUGGGUGUGGAUGAGUGGCGAACGGGUGAGUAACACGUGAGUAACCUGCCCCCUUCUUCUGGAUAACCGCAUGAAAGUGUGGCUAAUACGGGAUAUUCUGGGUCUGUCGCAUGAUGGGUCUGGGAAAGAUAUUGUUUCGGUGGGGGAUGGGCUCGCGGCCUAUCAGCUUGUUGGUGGGGUGAUGGCCUACCAAGGCGGUGACGGGUAGCCGGCCUGAGAGGGUGGACGGUCACACUGGGACUGAGACACGGCCCAGACUCCUACGGGAGGCAGCAGUGGGGAAUAUUGCACAAUGGGCGCAAGCCUGAUGCAGCGACGCCGCGUGAGGGAUGGAGGCCUUCGGGUUGUGAACCUCUUUCGCCAGUGAAGCAGGCCCGCCUCGGUUGUGGGUGAGUUGACGGUAGCUGGAUAAGAAGCGCCGGCUAACUACGUG